ACCCUCUCAGGAUGGUAUCUGGAGAGUUUUCAGUACUCUACCAGUCUCAGCUACGAGAGGGAGAGUCAAGCAGGGACAUACCCAUUCCAUUCUUAGCUUGGGCAGUGGCUAGUGAAUGGAAAGCAAGCUGCUACAAGU